rnacentral:rRNA from 1 species
AAAGGCCAAUCAAACCCGGAAAUAGCUGGUUCUCCGCGAAAUCUAUUUAGGUAGAGCGUCUCGUGAAUACCCAUGGGGGUAGAGCACUGGAUGGGCUAGGGGGUCCCAACGACUUACCAAACCUAACCAAACUCCGAAUACCGAUGAGUAGAGCACGGCAGACAGACCAUGGGUGCUAAGGUCCAUGGUCGAAAGGGAAACAGCCCAGACCUCCAGCUAAGGUCCCAAAAUCAUAGUUAAGUGGGAAAGGAUGUGGGAAGGCCAAGACAGCCAGGAGGU